ACCACUUUGCGAUUCAUGACUGGGGUGAAGUCGUAACAAGGUAACCGUAGGGGAACCUGCGGUUGGAUCACCUCCUUACCUUAAAGAAGC
rnacentral:rRNA from 1 species